rnacentral:lncRNA from 1 species
GAUGAGGCGGGGCUUGCCGUCUUUGACAGAGCCUGACAGUGGUAACAUCAGGGGAGCAGGCAGGCCGCUGGGACUCCGGCAAGCUAGGGAGGCACGUCCAUGGUGAGGCAGGGGCACGGACGACACAGAGAUAGUAGGAUCCGGGUGGCGUUGCUCCCGGCAAGACCUUGGCGGCGGACUUGGUGGCUCGAUGCCUGUCAAGAGAAACUGGGGAGAGAAGUGAGGCGGGAAGGAGGAAACGAGAAAGGAGGAGGAAGGUGAUGGGCACGAUGGGGUCCUGCAGGUGCUCGCCGGCGACGGCUGCCGGAGGAGGCUCGAGCGACGGCGAUGAGGACGCCUUGGACACACGGAUCGGGAGCUCCUCUCCCGUCAGUGUGUGGAAGACGAGCAUGAGCGUGGGGCACGGGGCGAUGGCUGGACAAGGGCAUCCAGGGGAGGCGCGGGUAGGAUCGUGGUGAUUCUCAGAGUUUGGGCAAGUGGAUGCGCUCGGGAUCGAAGGAGGAGCACUGGUUGGUUGGAUCGGGCAUUGGGAGGUUUCGAGGGGGGAUUUGUAAUGAGGGGAUCCCGAGAGGAUUAGUGGCGGCGGCCGAGAAGGAUGGAUGGGACAACUCCCCUAGAAAUUAGGGUUGACUGUUUAUAUAGGUAGAUAGGUUAGGUUAGGGACUACUCGGUCCAUUCGAUCAUAAUCGGACGAUCCCAGAUACAUAGGUUAGGGGCCCCAAUUUACGAAAUGGAGAUGUUUUGUAGACGUUUGGGGAUGUUUUGGAUCCAACGGUGACGAAAGUCCGGUUCAGGUUCGGGGAAGGUUUUCGGACGCGCGAGGGGGUCUGAGAACUGAGCAGAGAGGGGUUUUCGGACCGUGCGAUCGCAUCAGACGGCACCGGACACGAAGAGGGGAUAGGUGGAUGGACUAGGUGGGCUGAGAGGAGAGAAGAGAGAGAGGGCCCGACAUCAGUUUCCCGAGACCGAAAACGUCCGACGAUAGACCGGCUAUACUGUCGCUAUAGUUUAACGGUUGGGCUAUCAAACGAACUUCGAAUGCGAUGAAACUUGACAGGCGGUCUAUCUACACUAUAAUAAGACCACACGCCAACUUUCAACCCAAUCCGAGAACAUUUUCGGCCACUUAUAAAAUAAUAUUUCGGACAUGCCGCGGGCGCGUGCAAGUGUGUCUGGGCUAAGAACGGAUAACGGAAGAGGACGAGGAGACCGGGACGGAUGCAAGUUUGGAAAAUAUGAUGAUGCAAUGCGGAUGAUGACAUGACAAGAUGCAACACGCAAGCAAUGUCAAGGCAACAACAGCGAAUAACUGGAAGACACCUGGCGCAAUGGUCUCGGGGCGUUACAACACUCCACCACUACGAGAGGAUCUCGUCUCGAGAUCUAGAAUGGCACCGGAGGGAAAAACGGAAGACAAAGAGAAGAGGUAAAACUAAGUUGCUUCUUUGAGAAGCGAGUGAAACCAAAGAACCUUGAAAAGGUUAAGCCAUCUCGAGAAAACAAUACAACGGAGAUGAACGAAGUUGAAAACACUCCGUUAGAAAAGAGGGACAAGGAAGAACAACUCCGGGCAGAACUCCGAUUGAAAAGAAAAGGAAUUUAAUAAGAACUUCGUAAGAUGAGAAGAUACUUGAUGAAAUCACAACACACUGCCUCCGAAACUAUUGAAUGAAUGGAACAAGGGGUAAGAAAGAUCUCAGACAGCACUCCGGUUGAAAAGAGAUGCAAGGCUUGAUAAGGCAAAAAGAACUUGAGCAGAGGACACAACGCUCCGGUUAAAUGGAUAGGCAUGAAAAGAACAUGAUCUUUGACAAAACGAGAUGAUAGGUUGAAAAGAGCAACAUGACAAUGCCUCCGGAACAAAAGAAUAGAAGAUAGAUAAUUGAAAUAGGAGAAUGGAGAAGAAAAUGCCAACAUCUACCACAAAAGAGCUUGAAAAGGCAUCUUUAGGAGAAGGGUCGAGCGGAGUUGUUGGAAAACCAACAAUGAAAGGAAAAGCUUGAUAUGGACUUAUAGAAGGCAUCUCAAAAUUAUGAGGUGACAACUUGCCACUAACGGGAACAAGAUUGGAUAAGAACAAAGAGAGGAGAAACUAUUUCACCGGGAGGAUAAAAGAAGAACUUGGAUCGUUUAUAAGCACCAUAAUAGCAAAAUCCUUAGGGAAGGCUUUAGGUGAAAUAUAACCCAAGAUAAUUCCAACGAAGGGGUUGAUGGAUAUAAAAUACCACAUUCUUGACAACAUGUGAAUCAUGAAACAUGAACUCCAAUUAUCAAGAAUGACAUAAUACCACCUCCAAUGAUACGGUAGAAAGAAUUGCACUCCGGAUUGCAAGAUGAAGAUAACUUGAUCUCCUCUGAAAAUAAUCUUGAUGAACGUUUCGAGAACAGAUUAAGUCCUUUAUGUACCAUCAUGCAGAACCUCCAUGAAGAACUCCGGUAAACAAAAAGAAUGAUCAAAUGAAAGGAAAGAGAUGUCAAAAAACACAAGGUGAAAUCUUGCAAUGAUUUGAUGGAUCUUUGGAAUGAUAAUUGAAAUAACUUUGAGCUCCGGAAAAGAAAGAUGGACAACUUGAAUCAAGAAUUUGAUGAACCUCCGGAAUAAGGAAUUAAUCACUUGAGUGAAACAAGAGUAAGAAUUAUGUUAUGCGUAUCCUUCACCAAUUAAAUUGAUGACAAACGAUGGAUUUGGCAUACUACUUACUCUCUUAGAAAGGAUUAAGAUAGAUAUUGCGCAAACUUGAAGAGGCCUUCAAUGAUCCACCGAUAGGAUUUGAAAGAACAAAAGAAUUGAUAUGAUAACGAAGGGAGAAGAACUCUUGAACGAACCACCGCAAGAAUUGAAAAUGAACGAAGAGAAGAUAAGAAAACACCGGGAAGAAAAAAUGAACGAAGAUGCUUGAAAGGAUUUAGAUACAACUAAAACGAAGAGAUCACGUGUUGAUUAAAGAAUAUUGAAUGAUGCACCAGUGAGAUUUGGAGCAUGAUAGUUGCAGGCUGAGAAUGAAUAAUAUUUGAAAAGAUGGCCUUCAGAGGAAAAUGGAAAACAACUCAUGAAAUUCUCCGGGUGGGUGAAAAGAAUUCUAACAAUUGAAAACGAUUAUGAGAGGAUGGUCUCGAACUAGAGCCACGAAUCUCUGAGAGAACGGAUAAGAUAUGGAUGUAAAACUCUUCUUCGGUCUACAAAUUCUAAGAAUUAUGAUGUGACACACCACGAAGAAUUGUUGAGAUACUCCGGGAUGAUGAAUAGAAAGGUUGAGCCAACGGUGAUAGAAUUUUACAUAUCUUGGAGAAAGGCAUUUGACUGAUGAUAACUCAUUCUUACGUCAACUUUGAAAAAUGGAUUUGAGAGGAAAUCCGGGAAGAUUAGAAGAGUAGGUAAGAUCCUGGGAAAAGACCUGUGGGUUAGGGCCCACUCAAAAGAAACACCGUUGAAAUGAUUUAAAGAGAGAGAUUGCCCCGGUUGAAUUAAAAGGCUUGAAUGAGAGAACGUCCUCGAAAGAGUUUGAAAGGAUUACGAAAACAGAGUGGAAACACAAAUCUUCGAGAUAUCUUGACCACUCCGGAACAAUUGAAUAGCGAGAGGUGAAUGAUUAAGAAUUGCACCGGCAUAAGAAAGCAUUGAAACGAGGAAAGGAUAUGAUCAACAAAGCUUGACUUGAAACCACCGGAGAUGAAAAGAAUGAACAAUGACGGACUUGUAGCUCCAUUAGAAUCUUCCUAAGAAUCACCGGAUAAGAACAUUGACGGAAAAAGGAAUGGAGAGACUUCACAAGAAUAUAAAGUAUACUAGAUUAAAACAUCGGAUUCAUUGAAGAAAAAGGGUGGGUGGGCGGGAAAACAAAGGCAACUUGGGGAUGGAUAAAAAACAAACACCGUUGAGAAGAACUGAUACUUGAUCUUGCCGAUGUUGCAAUGAUCGGAUCCACUUGAAGAGAAGCACACCGGUUAAAAAGGAUUGACAUGACAAACUCGAUGAUCGAGAAGGAUUAGUGUUCACAUCGGGGUAUGAGAACACCGCUUAGGAAAAGGUAUGGAAUCAACAUUUGACUUCGAAGCAACUCGAAUACCACAACUCAAAACAAAAACAAAGGAUUGGCUUGCAGAAUAAGCCGGAACAAACAUAUGAUAGAGAUUUCUUCCGAAGUUUUCAUGGUGGGGCCUACACGGGCUCGAUCGUACAACAUGAUCAUGUACAAGGCAGUGCACAUGACAUACGAAGCGUCCCUGAGUCGGCAUAGCCAAGGACUCUUUAAGACACAACGAGACCAUUGUAAAACCAACCAUGAAUAGGCGGACCACUAGACGUCGAACCCCAAUUUCAUAUCAUACAUCUGUCGGAAAGAAAUCCUAAGAGCUACUUGAAUUCCCACUUAUAAACUCCCAAAAUUUUUCGGUUAUGCAAUCAGGUGUUGGGGAUACAGGGGAAGCAUAAUAUCUCACCCAAACUAGCAAAUCCUACAUCCAGCUGUAUCCAUCCUUCAACACAUAACCAAGAAACCUUCAGAAAUCAUCUACCUGAACCUUCGAAAAGCAUCCGUUAUACAAGUUAUGGCAAUACUCCCAAACUCCCGCCCCAGUACUGGGUGGCAUCGAGGUUAUCUCACCAACAACUGCAUAAAAGAGAUUUUCGAUGUCGGUGAAACUAAACUCAGGUAUUCCAGAACUGCAAUGAUAAAAUUGUGACGACAACACCUCGGAGCUCAACUCCUCGGGACACUGCCACAACCCCUAAAUGUCAGGAGGCACCAAGAACAAUGUUCUCAUCACAAAUCGAUCGGAACGAUUCCAAGAUACCAGCGUGAUCCUAAAAAAAUUAGUGAAAUUUGAGAAGAGAAGAGCCAAAACUCUACGUCAGGAUGCCUCACCGGAGCGACGAAGGGACUGAGGAGUAAAAAGAAGUCCUAACUCCCCGAUAUAUAUAAUUCCUAAAUGACUGAAAACAUUUUUCUAGAUUCCACAACGCCAAUGAUUCGAUCAAGCAGGGGGCUCCUAAGGUCGGGGAAGGCUCUGAUUACCAACUAGUAACGCCCUCGAUGCGGCUAUAUCUCCCACGUGUCGAAGCACGACUUAGAGGCAUAACCGCAUUGAAAGCAAUGUCGCAAGUGAGGUAAUCUUCACACAACCCAUGUAAUACAUAAGGGAAAGAGAUACAUAGUUGGCUUACAAUCGCCACGUCACACAAUACAUGAAUAAAGCAUUACAUCAUCGAGAUACAAUCAAGGUCCGACUAUGGAACCAAAAUAAAAGAAGACUACCCCAAAUGCAACAUAGAUCCCUGAUCGACCCCAACUGGGCUCCACUACUGAUCAACUAGAAACGGAUCAACACAAAGGACAAGAUCUUCAUCGAGCUCCUCCUUGAGCUUGGUUGCGUCAUCUGCUCGGUAACAUCGGCACCUGCAAACUAGUUUUGGAAGUAUCUAUGAGUCACGGGGACUCAGCAAUCUCACACCCUUGCGAUCAAGACUAUUUAAAGCUUAUAGGUAAGGCAAAGGUAUGAUGUGGAGCUGCAGCAAGCGACUAGGAUAUAUGGUGGCUAACUUAUUCGCAAAAGAGAGCGAGAAGAGAAGGCAAAAGCACGAUCGAACAACUAUGAUCAAGUAGUGAUCCUAGAACAACCUACGUCAAGCAUUACUCCAACACCGUGUUCACUUCCCGGACUCCGCCGAGAAGAGACCAUCACGGUAACACACGCGGUUGAUGCAUUUUAAUUAAGGUCAACUUCAGGUUUUCUACAACCGGACAUUAACAAAUUCCCAUCUGCCCAUAACUGCGGGCACGGCUUUUGAAAGUUCAAAUCCCUGCAGGGGUGUCCCAACUUAGCCCAUCUCAAGCUCUCACAGUCAGCGAAGGAUAUUCCUUCUCCCAAGAAAAUCUGAUCAGGCUCGGCGUGCCGGUUACAAGACAUCCUCGACAAUGGUAAAACAAGUCCAGCAACACAGCCCGAAUGUGCCAACAAAUCCCGAUAGGAGCUGCACAAAUCUCGUUCUCAGGGCACACUCAGAUAGGUCAAGCUACGAGUAAAACCACCCCUCGAGUGUCCCCGAGGUGGCCCCGCAGGCUGCCCAUUUCGGACCAACACUUAGAGAAGCACUGGCACGGGGNNNNNNNNNNNNNNNNNNNNNNNNNNNNNNNNNNNNNNNNNNNNNNNNNNNNNNNNNNNNNNNNNNNNNNNNNNNNNNNNNNNNNNNNNNNNNNNNNNNNNNNNNNNNNNNNNNNNNNNNNNNNNNNNNNNNNNNNNNNNNNNNNNNNNNNNNNNNNNNNNNNNNNNNUGCAUUAAAAUAAAGAUGCAUUAAUGGUCCGCGAAACCCAAGGGAAAAAGGCUAGUUGGCGAAUGGUAAAACCAAUGUUGGGCAUUGCUGGAGGAGUUUUAUUCAAGGCGAACUGUCAAGGGGUUCCCACUAUAACCCAACCGCAUGAGGAACGCAAAAUCCGGGAACAUAACACCGAUAUGACGGAAACUAGGGCGGCAAGAGUGGAACAAAACACCAGGCAUAAGGCCGAGCCUUCCACCCUUUACCAAGUAUAUAGAUGCAUUAAUUAAAUAAGAGAUAUUGUGAUAUCCCAACAAAAUAUCCAUGUUCCAACAUGGAACAAGCUCAUAUCUUCACCUGCAACUAACAACGCUAUAAGAGGGGCUGAGCAAAGUGGUAACAUAGCCAAACAAUGAUUUGCUAGGACAAGGUGGGUUAGAGGCUUGGCUCAACAAUAUAGGAGGCAUGGUAAGCAAGUGGUAGGCAUCGUAGCAUAGGCAUAGCAAAAGAGUGAGCAAGUAGCAAGCAAAGAUAGAAGUGAUUUCGAGGGUAUGGUCAUCUUGCCUAAGAUCCCACAAGGAAGAAGAACGAGUCCAUGAAGAAGACAAACGGACUUAGUCGACCGGAUCCUCACACACACGACGUAAUCGGAACCAACCCGAAGAAGCAACACCGGAAAGGAGCAAACAACAUAGUAAACAAUCAACACAUGACCAUGGCAUGAUGCACAACUAAGUAUGAUGCAUGUCCGGUUUAAUGAAGCAUGGCAUGGCAAAGUGCACAAGCAAUUCUACAAAUUAAGUGGAGCUCACUAUGCAACGAGUUGCAUAUUGACGAAACACCACAACAAGUUAUUUAGUUCGAUCUCGUUUAUGUACCCAUCAAUAUUAAAUGUUGUUAAACAUGGCAUGAGGGUGAAGCAAAACAAAACUACCUAUCUAGGCAAGUUUAAAUGAGGCUGGAACAACAAGCAACAAGUCCGGAAAAAUCCCCAUAUGCAUAUUUUAAGGUUUGGUACUGAUCUUCCUUAAACACAAUUUUAGAGUUAUUUAACAUGCAAAGUAAGGUCACCACGUUAAACUAGGCAUUUUUCCACCCCAUUUACAUAUAAAGUUUAUUAAAAUCCGAGUUACGGUUAUUUAGUUAUGAAAUAAGUCAUUUUAGCAAGUUAAUUAAGCAAGUUUAAACAAACAACAUCUUAAGCAUUUUAAACAUGGUUGAAAAUUGCAUAUUAUUGAUCUACACAAAAUUCUAAGCAUUUUACAUAUAAAGUUUAUUGGGUUCCGAUGAACGGGUGAAAAGUUAUUAUAUGCAUGAUGUACAAGGGUUUUUCUGCAAAACCACAGAUCCUGGAAAAAUAACUAAAUUUCACAGAUCUGGGGAAAAACCUAAACAGGCCAAAUCUAAGCAUGUUGGGCCAGCAUAAAAGAAAGAAAGAAAAAAAAGAGGCGCUGCAGUGGGCCUCACCAUGGGCCAAGCCCAAGUCGGUGGAAGAGGUGAGGCCGGCAGGGGCGCGCGGCUGGGCUUAGCUGGAAGCGGUGCUGGGCCGCAGCUGAAGAGGAGGCCGGCCCAUGCAGCUGGCCAGCGCGGUCAGGCGCGGGGCUGGACCGGACGAGCUCCUUGUUGUUCGACCUGAAGCGGAGGAGAUGCAGGGGAAACAGGGUAGCACUGGUGCCGGCGGUGAUGGGACUUGCUCCGGCGGGGGCGUACAGGAACCGGCCGGAUCCGAGGCUAGGUGGCAGUGGAACUCCGUUCUGAGGGCAGCUCGCGGGAGAUCUGGGCGCAGAUGAGGUGGGGCUUGUCGCCUUCGACAGAGCCUGACAGCGGCAGCAUCAGGGGAGCAGGCGGGCCGCUCGGACUCCGGCAAGCUGGGGAGGCGCGUCCAUGGUGAGGCAGGGGCACGGACGAUGCAGAGAUAGUCGGAUCCGGGCGGUGUCGCUCCCGACAGGACCUUGGCGGCGGACUUGGUGGCUCGAUGCCUAUCAAGAGAAACAGGGGAGAGAAGUGAGGCGGGAAGGAGGAAACAACAAAGGAGGAGGAAGGUGAUGGGCACGAUGGGGUCCUACAGGUGGUCGCCAGCGACGGCUGCCGGAGGAGGCUCGAGCAACGGCGACGAGGACGCCUUGGACACACGGAUCGGGAGCUCCUCUCCCGUCAGUGUGUGGAAGACGAGCAUGAGCGUGGGACACGGGGCGAUGGCUGGACGAGGGGAUCCAGGGGAGGCGCGGGUAGGAUCGUGGGGAUUCUCAGAGUUUGGGUAGGUGGCUGCACUCGGGAUCAAAGGAGGAGCACUGGUUGGUUGGAUCGGGCAGAGGGAGGUUUCGAGGGGGGUUUGGAAUGAGGGGAUCCCAAGAGGAUUAGUGGCGGCGUCCGAGAGGGAUGGAUGGG